GAUGAACGCUAGCGGCGGGCCUAAUACAUGCAAGUCGAACGGGAUCAGGGAGCUUGCUCCCUGUGAGAGUGGCGCACGGGUGCGUAACACGUAUGCAACCUACCUUCAACUGGGGGAUAGCCUUCCGAAAGGAAGAUUAAUACCGCAUAACAUAAUUGAAUGGCAUCAUUUGAUUAUCAAACGUCAGGGUUGAAGAUGGGCAUGCGUCCGAUUAGCUAGUUGGUGUGGUAACGGCACACCAAGGCGACGAUCGGCAGGGGAUCUGAGAGGAUGCCCCACCACACUAGUACUGAGACACGGACCAGACGCCUAAGGGAGGCAGCAGUAAGGAAUAUUGGUCAGUGGACGCAAGUCUGAACCAGCCAUGCCGCGUGCAGGAAGACGGUCCUCUGGAUUGUAAACUGCUUUUGUUAGGGAGUAACACCAAUUACGUGUAGUUGGAUGCAAGUACUGCAAGAAUAAGGAUCGGCUAACUCCGUGCCAGCCGCAGCAGUAAAAC
rnacentral:rRNA from 1 species